UACGUAGGGUGCAAGCGUUAAUCGGAAUUACUGGGCGUAAAGCGUGCGCAGGCGGUAAUAUAAGACAGAUGUGAAAUCCCCGGGCUCAACCUGGGAACUGCAUUUGUGACUGCAUUGCUGGAGUGCGGCAGAGGGGGAUGGAAUUCCGCGUGUAGCAGUGAAAUGCGUAGAUAUGCGGAGGAACACCGAUGGCGAAGGCAACUCCCUGGGCCUGCACUGACGCUCAUGCACGAAAGCGUGGGUAGCAAACAGG
rnacentral:rRNA from 1 species